GACGGAGGAUGCAAGCGUUAUCCGGAAUGAUUGGGCGUAAAGCGUCCGCAGGUGGCAGUUCAAGUCUGCUGUCAAAGACUGGGGCUUAACCCUGGAAAGGCCGUGGAAACUGAAGAGCUAGAGUGCAGUAGGGGUAGAGGGAAUUCCCGGUGUAGCGGUGAAAUGCGCAGAUAUCGGGAGGAACACCGGUGGCGAAGGCGGUUCUCUGGGCCUGACCUGACGCUGAGGAGCGAAAGCGCGGGGAGCGAACAGG
rnacentral:rRNA from 1 species